rnacentral:rRNA from 1 species
AUUGAACGCUGGCGGCAGGCCUAACACAUGCAAGUCGAGCGGAUGAAGGGAGCUUGCUCCUGGAUUCAGCGGCGGACGGGUGAGUAAUGCCUAGGAAUCUGCCUGGUAGUGGGGGAUAACGUCCGGAAACGGGCGCUAAUACCGCAUACGUCCUGAGGGAGAAAGUGGGGGAUCUUCGGACCUCACGCUAUCAGAUGAGCCUAGGUCAGAUUAGCUAGUUGGUGGGGUAAAGGCCUACCAAGGCGACGAUCCGUAACUGGUCUGAGAGGAUGAUCAGUCACACUGGAACUGAGACACGGUCCAGACUCCUACGGGAGGCAGCAGUGGGGAAUAUUGGACAAAGGGCGAAAGCCUGAUCCAGCCAUGCCGCGUGUGUGAAGAAGGUCUUCGGAUUGUAAAGCACUUUAAGUUGGGAGGAAGGGCAGUAAGUUAAUACCUUGCUGUUUUGACGUUACCAACAGAAUAAGCACCGGCUAACUUCGUG